rnacentral:rRNA from 1 species
AGGACGAACGCUGGCGGCGUGCUUAACACAUGCAAGUCGAGCGGAAAGGCCCUUCGGGGUACUCGAGCGGCGAACGGGUGAGUAACACGUGAGCAACCUGCCCUUGGCUCUGGGAUAGCCUCCGGAAACGGGGAUUAAUACCGGACAUUCACUGAUCCCUGCAUGGGGGAUGGUGGAAAGUUUUUCGGCCAGGGAGGGGCUCGCGGCCUAUCAGCUUGUUGGCGGGGUAACGGCCCACCAAGGCGACGACGGGUAGCCGGCCUGAGAGGGCGAUCGGCCACACUGGGACUGAGACACGGCCCAGACUCCUACGGGAGGCAGCAGUGGGAAUAUUGCACAAUGGGCGCAAGCCUGAUGCAGCGACGCCGCGUGGGGAUGAAGGCCUUCGGUUGUAACCUCUUCGGCCUUGACGAAGGCUCUGUUGCUGUGAGGUGGCGGGUUGACGGUAGGGUAGAAGAAGCACCGGCCAACUACGUGCCAGCAGCCGCGGU